rnacentral:lncRNA from 1 species
CUACAAAUGGCAGAUCAGACAUUCUGAAAGAUUGAGGGUUAUUGACAUGGGAGAAGACGAGUACGAUCCACCCAUCAUCCUUGGAAGACUGUUCCUCAGCACCGUUAAAGCAAUCAUCAACAUUGGAACCGGAGAAGUCCACAUGCACUUCCCCUCUGAGAGGGUACACCGCUAUUUUACUAACCAUAACUAUAUAGUUGAAGAAUCUAAGCAGGUCAGGACAAGAAGAUGACGAUGCAAUCGCAACCAGAGGAGGCAAAUCAUCAAGGACGGAUGGGCAGACUACGAAGGAGAAGUGAUAAGGUCUGAAGACAUACAGCUUGAAUAGUACUGUCCUGAGGAGACCGUAGCACCGAGUCAGGUGUGUAGAAAGAAGAUAGUUAUACACGAAGAGCAGGCUCCGCCGGAACCACUGACUACGCCAUCCAGCGAAUCCCAGGACGACUAAGAAAACGGAGAGUCCCGUUCGGAGGACUUAAAAACACCGAACGCCUUGCCAAGAGGUAAACUUGGUAGUUAUCUUUUUCAUUUUAAUUAUUUAAAAUAGUUUGCUUAGUUAAUCAGGUUCAUAUCAUCUCGAAAAGAAAAUAAAAAUGUUAAAAAUAGUAAGCCCCAUGUGGGUAUGCUCAUGGCAUAAAACCCAUAAGUACAUUCACUGUGGUGGCGUAAAAAUAAAAUAAAUAUAUUCCUGUCCUAUAAAAAUAAAAUUAUAAAAAUAAAUUUAUGAUCCUACUAAAGAGGGUAACAUUUAUUGAGGAGGCUCAACAUGAUAAAGGCUAGAUAUUUAUGCUAACACUUAACUAGUUCCACAAAGCUUUGUUGUCUAUUUGAGCUCCACAGAAUUCAAGGAUCAAAGAAGACUAGCAGACGGAGGACAACCUAAUCGCUGUCAGAGUGCUGCCGACAUUCAAAUACACCUCCGUCACCUGCUAGCUACAUCAGAAGAAAUUGCGUCGAAAUCUAGUUGGGGGAGAGCACCCCCAUUUAUCCAGCUAAUUAUUCUACUCACAUUUAUACUUUACUCUAAUAAUAAAAUGAUGCAUAAUCAUAAGAACCCAAAUAAAGAUUUUGUGCUUAUAUAUAUAUAUAUAUCUUUGCAUAGUUUGCUAAAUAAUAAAUAAAUAAAUAAAGUUUGCUAUGAACCCUCAUGAUAAGCUCUCACAUGGAAAUGAUGAAUAGUUGCUCUGCUAUGACUAGUUCUCAAAUUGAAAUCUCUCUCAAGUUUAGGCAUGAAUGUUAUUAAUUAAUAUUUGCUCUAAACCUGAACUUAUGGGAAGAGUACUGGAUCUAAAGUCUAAGUUGUUAAUGGAUAUGAUAUGGGAAGGUUGAGCUAUUGUUUAUCUGUUCCUAGAGAUGCUAGAAUUCUGGAGAAUUUUAUCUUUGAAAAUCUUUAAAAUAUCACAUGAUGAGUUCAUGUAUGAUGAGAGUUUAAAAUCCUACCACAGCCAUAUAUACAUGCUUAUUAGACUAUGAACCACACAUUUGCUUUUUACUGCUUAUAAGCAUUGAGUGUGGUCAAGCUGUGUAGACCCUUAGGAGCUUGUCAUGUGGUUAAAUCAAGAUUCGCUUGCACGUUCACUCACACAUGCUGCUUCUACUCCGGAAGUACGCAUCCACAUAUAUCCACCCAUUUCCAUCUCUAGAACCAUCCACAAAUAUUCUACUCCUAAUCCGGGAGAGAAUAGCUAAAAACAUUUUUGUUUUCCCCUGUGAAAUAAAUGCUCCAGUUAUCUUGGUUACUACCACUUGCUACAUUAUUUCAAGAGAUGAGUGCUCUCUAAAAAAAGAGAAGAGAGAAAAAAAGAUACGAGGAAAUAAAAAGGGGCAAGUGCCCGGAACCUCGAAAGAAAAGAAAAAGUGAGACGAGAGGUAAAAAUGGACAAGUGUCCGACAGUAGAAUUAGGGGUACAAGAUACCCACCUGAGAGAAAAGAAAAAAAAAUGUAGAGCAUCUCAUUCUCCUCAAAAAGUUUCAAAAGAGCAAGAAAGGUAUGUAUCCCCUAAAAAGAGCACAAGUAGAAUUAGACUUUCACCAUUGUUAUCACCAUCAUCACCAUACACCAUUCAUUCGCCACACAUGCACAUCUUGAUUUGACUUAUUGACUUGUUUCUUCUGGAUCCAUGGUUUGACUAUGCAAUAAAUGUCUUGUAAGUAUGUAUUAGCUGUCUCCCACCUAUGAGCUCCAGAUAUCAAAACCUUAUUAGAGUAGGGUGAGAGAGAAGGCAAUGUCACUAUGCCUCAUACCAAAAAUACCACAUACUUUGAGAGAAGGCUUAUACCAUUACUACCUUGGUAAGGAUCCAGAAAUACCACAAAAGAGAGAUUAGAGAGAGUCAUGCAAGGAAUCUCUGAGUUGUUGACGGUCCUUAAGUAUCAAAUUUAAUUAUCAAAUAAACAAAAAAAGGAUCCAAAUGAAAUCAACAUCUAGACUUAGGGUUUAUCUCAUAGAAUUCCACGAGUUUUGGUGUUUGUCUAUUUCCACAGGGGGUUAUCAGGAAAUACGGAAGAAAGGCCCUCAUGUCGGGAUUACAUAGAGAUAUUAAUGUAUCACGCAAUUAUCUUAUAUCUAGAAGACUCCAGAAGCCACGAGACCGAAGCGGAGACGAAACGGGGCCAGAGGCAGGGCGCUCGCCCUAUUCCCGUAGGCGCCCGCCCCCUCCCUGAGUCCAAUCAGGACUCAGCUUCGUGGGAGAUCUCCACCGACCUAAAGGAUGAAUCUAAACCAUACAACCUAUGUCGGUUUGAUCCAACGGCCCAUAUUCACUUGAAGGGACUAUAAAACCAGACCCCCUGGCCCCUGGAGGAGAGAGCCUCUCAACCCUAAUUCAUUAUUCCUCAAGGGAGAAGAAGCCCCUGAUCAAGAUUAGAGCCACCACAUCAAUUAGACAUCUAGAUUAGCAUAGCUACAUAGGAUUAGAACUAGAAGGAGUCAAUCUUCGAUUGGUUUCCGGAUCUGUCAGGAGGAUUCUUGGUAAUUCUCUAAUUGUGCUUCUAAUUGCUUUCUAAUCAUCUUUGUUCUUCAAUAUUAUGAAUAUGACUUUGUUCUACUUCAAUAUAUUGCUUAUGACUUUGCUCUACUUGUUUAUAUUCAAGAUUAUAUUGUUCUUAGUUUAUCAUAGUUAUGUACUUGGCUUAGUUAGAUUGGAUCUAUAUACAUGCUUAGGAUCGUAUAGCGUUUAUCCAUCGGAUCCAUGUGUAAAUGAUAGAUAUUGUGUAGGCGUGGUGCUUAUACCGUAUUUAUCUGCGAUUGUACCCAAUAUGCCAGAUCGUGGGGUAGUUCGUGAUAGUGACAGCUUCAUUGAUUCUUAUAUAGUCCCCCUCUCGUGUAUUGGGCUGGCAGAGCAAUAUUAUUAGAGUGAUUGCUAUGUUUCUCAUUUACCUUGUUAAUAUCACUAUGCAUGGGCGUAGUCUUGUCUCACAAUGAUUGCUAAGUAUGCUUGCACUAACUAUGAUAAUGCUAGACUAUAUAGUUGAGAAUAACUUAGGGAAUAUUCUUGUAGUUCGUUCUAAUUCCAUGCUAAUGACUUUCUAGAGUAUCUAAUUGAGGUGCUUAUCAUAUUUAUAUGUGGCUGAUCAGACUAAUUAUCUUUGUCACUAUUCAUUAUUUCAUAUAUCUUUUAUGUGACACUUAUCCCUAUAGGAACAGUAACUGAUGUCCCAGUCAAAAUAGACGAUCAUUUUGUCUACACAAAUUUUUAGGUUAUUGACAUGGGAGAAGAUGAAUACGAUCCACCCAUCAUCCUUGGAAAACCGUUCCUCAGCACCGUUAAAGCAAUUAUCUACAUUGGAACUGGAGAAGUCCAUAUGCACUUCCCCUCAGAAAAGGUACGCCGUUAUUUUACUGACCCUAAUUAUAUCGUUGAAGAAUCUAAGCAGGUGAGGAAACGACGCAACCGCAACCAGAGGAGGCAAAUCAUCAAGGAUGGAUGGGCAGACUAUGAAGGAGAAGUUGUAAGGUUAGAAGACGUAGAGUUUAAACAGAAUUAUCCGGAGGAGACCGUAGCACCGAGUCAGGUAUGGAAAGAGAAGACAACUAUACAUGAAGAGGAUGCGCUGUCGGAAGUACCGACUAUGCCACCCAACGAAUCCCAGGACAAUUGAGAAAGAGGAAAGUCCCGUUCGGAGGACUUAAAAACACUGAACGCCUUGCCAAGAGGUAAACUUGGUAGUUAUCCUUUCCCUUUUAAUUAUUUUAAAUAGUUUACUUAGUUAUGUUCAUACUAUCUCAAAAUGAAAAUAAAAAUGUGAAAAACAGUAAGCCCCAUGUGAGUAUACGAGUGGCAUGAAACCCAUAAGUACAUUCACUGUGGUGGCAUAAAAAUAAAAUAAAUAUUUCUUUUCUGCUUUAUAAAAUGAAAAUAUAAAAAUAGGGAGUAAUAAUUAUUAAGGAGUCUCAACAUGACAAAGGCUAGAUAUUUAUGCUAACACUUAAUUAGUUCCACAAGCUUUGUUGUCUAUUUGAGCUCCACAGAAUUUAAGAAUCAAGAAGACUAGCAAACGGAGGACAUUCUAAUCGCUGUCAGAAUGCUGCUGACUUUCAAAUACACCUCUGCCACCUGCUAGCUACUUCAAGAGAAAUUACGUCAAAAUUCAGCUUGGGGGAUAGCACCCCCAUUUAUACUGAUAAGUAUUUCUAUCUAUCUAUCUUUAUACUUAUACUAUAUUAAAAUAUAAAUAUACAUAAACCAGGAAAAACCAAAUAAAGAUUUUGUGCUUAUAUAUAUAUCUUUUGCUUAGUGUGUUUAAUAAAUAAAUAAAGUGGCUAUGCUAAUCUGUAUCUAAAUAAAACUCUAGCAUGGAUAUGAUGAAUAGUUGCUCUGCCUAAUUUGUAAAUUUUAAGUUCUCUCAAGUUUAGACAUAACUGUUAUAAUUUAAAGCUUGCUCUAGACCUAAACUUGUGGGACGAAAACUUGAUCUGAAGUCUAAGUUGUUAACGGAUAUGAUAUGGGAAGGUUGAGCUGCUGUUUAUCUGUUCCUAGAGAUGCUAGAAUUCUAGAGAAUUUUAUCUUUGAAAAUCUUUAAAAUAUUGCAUGAUCAGUUCCUGUAUGUUGAGAGUUUAAAUUCCUACCACAGCCAUAUAUACAUGCUUGCUAGACUUUGAGCCACACAUUUACUAUUUACUGCUUAUGAGCAUUGAGUGUGGUCAAGCUGUGUAGACCCUUAGGAGCUUGUCAUGUGGUUAAAUCAAGAUUUCACUUGCACGUUCACUCAUACAAGUUACUUCUACUCCGGAAGUACCAUCCACAUAUAUCCACCCAUUUCCAUCUCCAGAACCAUCCACAAAUAUUCUACUCCUAAUCCGGGAGAGAAUAGCCAAAAACAUUUUUGUUUUCCCCUGUGAAAUAAAUGCUCAAGUUAUCUUGGUUACUACCACUUGCUACAUUAUUUCAAGAGAUGAGUGCUCUCUAAAAAAAGAGAAGAGAGAAAAAAAGAUACGAGGAAAUAAAAAGGGGCAAGUGCCCGGAACCUCGAAAGAAAAGAAAAAGUGAGACGAGAGGUAAAAAUGGACAAGUGUCCGACAGUAGAAUUAGUGGUACAAGAUACCCACCUGAGAGAAAAGAAAAAGAAAAUGUAGAGCAUCUCAUUCUCCUCAAAAAGUUUCAAAAUAGCAAGAAAGGUAUGUAUCCCCUCAAAAGAGGACAAGUAGAAUUAGACUUUCACCAUUGUUAUCACCAUCAUCACCAUACACUAUUCAUUCGCCACACAUGCACAUCUUGAUUUGACUUAUUGACUUGUUUCUUCUGGAUCUAUGGUUUGACUAUGCAAUAAAUGUCUUGUAAGUAUGUAUUAGCUGUCUCCCACCUAUGAGCUCCAGAUAUCAAAACCUUAUUAGAGUAGGGUGAGAGAGAAGGCAAUGUCACUAUGCCUCAUACCAAAAAUACCACAUACUUUGAGAGAAGGCAUACACCAUUACUACCUUGGUAAGGAUCCAGAAAUACCACAAAAGAGAGAUUAGAGAGAGUCAUACAAGGAAUCUCUGAGUUUUAUUUGAAAAUCUGCAAAAACUCCAGAGCUAUAGUUAAUCGAAGAACAGGAGACAUGGCGCUUGACUCGACCGUUCUAUCUUUUAACUGCUCAAGACACAAGUGACGGUUGCAAGCCCCAUGGUGAAAGGUAAUAUGAGUAAGUUUAAAUCUUAACAGUUACGCUAACCCAGAGAUGAGAUCUUGUUUGAACACAUGUGUAUCUUUAAGGCAUGAAACCACUGCAGAAACUCUUGAGUUCAUCUUUGCUCAGGGACGAGCAAAGGUUAAGCUUGGGGGAGCUUGUUGACGGUCCUUAAUGCUCACAUUUAACCAUCAACU